CCAAGAUAACCUGCACAUAGAUAAAGUCUUUUCUCCGCUUUAAAACACUUAAAAUUAAAGUGCAGUAUUCUCCUGGUUGUUCUGUGCUGCUGUGAUACAGAUAUAAAAGCAGCCAUAGCAGGGGCUGUUAGAUCCAAUCCAUGGGCUGAUUGUGGGCCAGGCCUUUGGCCAACCACUGCCAGUAACCUGCCAUCACCACUCCCCAUUUCACUGUCAGGCGGUUGGAUAAGUGUGUUUGGUUAGAUAUCUUGCAGAGAGGACAUGCUUAGGAGUACUUUGGACCAAUCUCUUGCCUGGCUUCAAAACUUGUUUUCAAAAUUAUUAAGGUGCAUCCUUGUUUCUUAAGAGGCUUUCUGAUUCAGAGUACAGAAAGAGUCACUCUUCAGGACUUGGUAUGGGAUGGAAAGGGAAGCGUGCUCAAUUCUAACCUCAGCUCCAUGUGCUUCCUUUGCAGCCAUGGAAUUUGAGCUCAGCUGUGCAGUUUUCCUCGCUGCAGCAAUCAUGUAAGCACGACUCCCACGUACCUGGGGGUUCCUGUAUCUAGGGGGAAGUAAUUCUGAACAUGUGGUUCAGCAGCAGGUUAAGCUGAUUGAAAUCAGCUCUGCUGCACUCCAACCUUCCCUGCCACUCCUUGUGUUCUCACUUCCUCUAGUUGUGUAUUUCAGUCAGAUUCAUUUGCUGCCUCUGUAGUUCCUGAACAAACGUAUAAGGCGAACUGAUAAACAUCAAUACAGGAGGAAAGGGCAAGGCUGUGCAGUGCUGUUGUAUACAGGCAUGCUGUAUCAGUCACAAGCACGGCGCUGAACACUCCUGCAAACUAUGGGGACAAGUUUCCAGUGAGCUUUGCAUCGUGGGGAGAGCAAACCCCAAUCUCCUGCAAUAUAAGGUAACAUCCCUGCGAUACGUACAUCCUGCUGUGCAGCACAGCUGCAGGGCAGAGCCCGUUUCACUUCUUUCCUUUUUUGGAUCUGCGUGCACACGGUCCCUAAUGGAGCCGGAUACCAAGAACAGAAACCAAGUCACUACAGCGCCGCACGACUACCGGUGAUCCCCUCCCCUCGGCGAUAUCACCAUAAUCGCGAACCAUCCUCAAGCCCCGCACAAACCCCGUGCCCUACAGCAGCUCUAGGUACCGGGCACAGAACGAUCAGCCCGUCCCAAAGCUCCAACACAACCCACCGACCGCAAACUUAUCCCCCUCCCUGGGCUGCCCACCUUGGCGGAGGGGGCGGACCCCUGGACCCCUCCGGAGCCAAUGGCAGCGGGGAGGGCGCGGGGAGGCGGCG
ensembl:lncRNA